rnacentral:misc_RNA from 1 species
UUUCCGUAGGUGAACCUGCGGAAGGAUCAUUACAGAGUUCAUGCCCUCACGGGUAGAUCUCCCACCCUUGAAUAUUUAUACCUUAGUUGCUUUGGCAGGCCGUGGAAACACCAUGGGCUCCGGCUUAUGCGUGCCUGCCAGAGGAAACAAACUCUGUUUUUAGUGAUGUCUGAGUACUAUAUAAUAGUUAAAAACUUUCAACAACGGAUCUCUUGGUUCUG